rnacentral:rRNA from 1 species
GACGAACGCUGGCGGCGUGCUUAACACAUGCAAGUCGAACGGUAAGGCUCCAGCUUGCUGGGGUACACGAGUGGCGAACGGGUGAGUAACACGUGGGUGACCUGCCCUGCACUUCGGGAUAAGCCUGGGAAACUGGGUCUAAUACCGGAUAGGACCAUGGUGUGGAUACUGUGGUGGACAGUUUUUUCGGUGUGGGAUGGGCCCGCGGCCUAUCAGCUUGUUGGUGGGGUAAUGGCCUACCAAGGCGGCGACGGGUAGCCGGCCUGAGAGGGUGGACGGCCACAUUGGGACUGAGACACGGCCCAGACUCCUACGGGAGGCAGCAGUGGGGAAUAUUGCACAAUGGGCGGAAGCCUGAUGCAGCGACGCCGCGUGGGGGAUGACGGCCUUCGGGUUGUAAACUCCUUUCACCAUCGACGAAGGGUUUCUGACGGUAGAUGGAGAAGAAGCACCGGCUAACUACGUG